UGACGGGGGCCCGCACAAGCGGUGGAGCAUGUGGUUCAAUUCGACGCAACGCGAAGAACCUUACCCAGGCUCGAACGGCAAGUGACAUCCGAUGAAAGUCGGCUUCCGCAAGGACACUUGUCGAGGUGCUGCAUGGCUGUCGUCAGCUCGUGUCGUGAGAUGUUGGGUUAAGUCCCGCAACGAGCGCAACCCUUGUUUCCUGUUGCCAUCACGUUAUGGUGGGCACUCUGGAGAGACUGCCGGUGACAAACCGGAGGAAGGUGGGGAUGACGUCAAGUCAGCAUGGCCUUUAUGUCUGGGGCCACACACGUGCUACAAUGGCAGAUACAAACCGUUGCGAUCCCGCGAGGGGGAGCUAAUCGGAGAAAGUCUGCCUCAGUUCGGAUUGCAGGCUGCAACUCGCCUGCAUGAAGUUGGAAUCGCUAGUAAUCGCGGAUCAGCACGCCGCGGUGAAUACGUUCCCGGGCCUUGUACACACCGCCCGUCACAUCACGAAAGCUGGCUGUACUAGAAGUCGCUGCGCUAACCCGCAAGGGAGGCAGGCGCCUA
rnacentral:rRNA from 1 species